AUUUGAAUGGGCAAUGUUUCAUAUAUUUUCUUGCUAUGCGUCUAUUACUUCACAAAAAAGGUACAUGCAUAAUAUGGAAAUGAACCAUAAUUAGUAAUAAUCAUGCAUAAACACACACAAAAAUAUAUUUUUGUUGGCUCCCAAAAAUGUGUUAUGGAUCUCAAGGAAAUAUAUUUCAUUUUAUGUACUAUGCAAAAAUAAGCUCUCAAAUAUGUGACGUGGUCCUUGGAAGGUAUAGCUAGAGCAUAAAAUGGUUGGUCCCCCUCACCUUUUCUACACUUCUCUUCUAUUGGAGGUAAAAAAACUAUGGUUGGUCAUUAUAAAAUUUAUUGCAAAUGAAAUUAGUAACUAGUUGUGGGUUCUUUUCUAGUGGUUCCUUGAAGCCUGGGUGUUUGUCUUGUGUAAAUGGUUCAAGUGCAUCUCUAAAUACAUCUUUCAAUAAUUUUCAGUUCACUUGAAACCAAACUAAACUAAUUGAGGUUUAAUGGAAGAAAACUUGUUGCACUAGUCUCAAACUUGAUGAGGUCAGCUUCAUG
rnacentral:misc_RNA from 1 species